rnacentral:tRNA from 1 species
GCCUGGCUGGCUCAGUGGGUAGAGCAUGUGAUUCUUGAUCUCAGGGUCGUGAGUUCAAGCCCCAUGAUGGGUA